UAACAUAGGCUUCUCAGAUUCUGGGAAAUACAUAUGCAAAGCUGUUACAUUCCCACUUGGAAAUGCCCAGUCCUCUACAACUGUGACUGUGUUAGUUGAACCUACGGUGAGCCUGAUCAAAGGGCCAGAUUCUUUAAUUGAUGGAG